UAUAGCCCUGAAGAGAAAAGAAAAGAACUUUUCUCAGCAGACACAUUCGGCAUUUAUAGAUUUUGAAGCUGCUGUGAAUUUAUCUAACUACAGAGGAUUUGUAAAAAAACCUCAUCCAAUUCAAGAGGACCUGCAGAAACUUUCUUUGGGCCACAGGAUUCUUUUUAGGACGGGAACAAUUUGAAGGAUUCUGAGGCCGGAAAUGGCAUGAUCAACUCUGUUCUUUGUAAAGAUAAUUCUGGAAACUUUGGGCAGGAUGAACAAAAAGAAGACAUGAACAUCUGUGAGAACAGAGGUGUGUCCCGGUGGUCUGUGGCUGAAAGGCAGUGACAGCCGUGGAGCUGAAGCCCUCACUGCUUCCGACUGGAACCUGGACCCAGGAACCCUCCAUAAAGCUCUUGUUGGAGACACCAACUUGGUUGGGAGGAUUCCUACAAUAACCCUGUAAGGAAGAUAACACAGGCUUUCAUCAUUAACCUCAUUUAUAGAUAAGAAAACUGAAGCACAGUGAAGUUAAAUGAUUUGUCCAAAGCCUCCAACCAGGAACACCAAGUGCUGAACCUAUUCAUUCAUUCAUUCGUUCAUGUGCCAGGUACUGUGGCACUGUUCCAAGCACUGGGAUAGAGGCUGAAGAACACAGUGGUGGAUUAUACAAAGCCUUAUUCUACUUGGAGAGACAGGAAAUAAACAAAUGCAUAAUAUAAUGUUACCAAGCGACAGUGCUACGAAGAAACAUUAAGGAAGUUAGAACAGCAGGCUGGAUUUGAAAGCAAAAAACAACGGCCACUGCUGCACAGAAAACAAAACCUCAGGCCACCGUCCCAGGACCCAGAGAACCUGGAACAGCCUAGGAAGAUUCUGAGCUGCAGACACCUGCGGGAAGAGGGACUGUGCCAGUUCAAGGUGCCACAUUGCUGCCACCUACCACCCAUCAGAGGGCACAACGCUGGAAACAGACGCUAUGCAAAUGGUUUCUUUUUCUUUCAGACAGAAAGCAACAUCAGAAUCUUUCUUUCCAAAGUAUGGUUUGCAGACCAGAAGCACCAACAUCACCUAGAAGCUUCUGAGAAAGGCAGAAUCUCACGCUCCACCUCCAAUCUAUUGAAUCGAUUCUGCUUUUU